rnacentral:sRNA from 1 species
CCCUAGCCCUGAUUGCAAUGGAAAUCCUUUUUUGUAGCAAGGCGGAAAAAAAGAUUGCAAUGGAAAGCAGGAAAUUGC